GGCUCAGGACGAACGCUGGCGGCGUGCCUAAUACAUGCAAGUCGAACGGUCUUUCUAUGGAAGCUUGCUUCCACUGAGAAGAUAGUGGCGAACGGGUGAGUAACACGUGGGUAACCUGCCCAUAAGAGGGGGGAUAACAUCCGGAAACGGGUGCUAAUACCGCAUAGUUUUCUUGAUCGCAUGAUCGGGAAAGGAAAGACGGCCUUUGUGCUGUCGCUUAUGGAUGGACCCGCGGCGUAUUAGUUAGUUGGUGAGGUAACGGCUCACCAAGACGAUGAUACGUAGCCGACCUGAGAGGGUGAUCGGCCACAUUGGGACUGAGACACGGCCCAAACUCCUACGGGAGGCAGCAGUAGGGAAUCUUCCGCAAUGGACGAAAGUCUGACGGAGCAACGCCGCGUGAGUGAAGAAGGUUUUCGGAUCGUAAAACUCUGUUGUCGGAGAAGAACAAGUUGGAGAGUAACUGCUCCAGCCUUGACGGUAUCUGACCAGAAAGCCACGGCUAACUACGUGCCAGCCGCCGC
rnacentral:rRNA from 1 species